AUUGAACGCUGGCGGCAGGCCUAACACAUGCAAGUCGAGCGAGCGGCGGACGGGUGAGUAAUGUCUGGGAAACUGCCUGAUGGCGGGGGAUAACUACUGGAAACGGUAGCUAAUACCGCAUACCAUCAGAUGUGCCCAGAUGGGAUUAGCUAGUAGGUGGGGUAACGGCUCACCUAGGCGACGAUCCCUAGCUGGUCUGCGAGGAUGACCAGCCACACUGGAACUGAGACACGGUCAAGACUCCUACGGGAGGCAGCAGUGGGGAAUAUUGCACAAUGGGCGCAAGCCUGAUGAAGACAUGCCGGGUGUGUGAAGAGGGCCUUCGGGUUGUAAAGCACUUUAAGCGGGGAGGCGUUACCCGCAGAAGAAGCACCGGCUAACUCCGUGCCAGCAGCCGCGGUAAUUC
rnacentral:rRNA from 1 species